CGGGUGAGUAAUACUUGGGCAAUCUGCCCUUGAGUGGGGGACAACCUGCCGAAAGGCGGGCUAAUACCCCAUAAGACCACAGGGAUGCAUAUUCCAGAGGUCAAAGCUCCGCAAGGGGCGCUUGAGGAGGAGCCCGAGUCCUAUCAUGGUAGUUGGCGGGGUAAUGGCCCACCAAGCCGUUGACGGGUAGCCGGCCUGAAAGGGCAACCGGCCACACUGGCACUGAGACACGGGCCAG
rnacentral:rRNA from 1 species